GAUGAACGCUAGCUACAGGCUUAACACAUGCAAGUCGAGGGCAGCGCAGUGUAGCAAUACAUGGGCGGCGACCGGCGCACGGGUGCGUAACGCGUAUCCAACCUUCCCGUUACUCAGGGAUAGCCUUCCGAAAGGGAGAUUAAUACCUGAUGGUGUUUGAAUUCCGCAUGUUAUUCAAACUAAAGAUUUAUCGGUAACGGAUGGGGAUGCGUGACAUUAGGUAGAUGGCGGGGUAACGGCCCACCAUGCCUACGAUGUCUAGGGGUUCUGAGAGGAAGGUCCCCCACACUGGAACUGAGACACGGUCCAGACUCCUACGGGAGGCAGCAGUGAGGAAUAUUGGUCAAUGGCCGAGAGGCUGAACCAGCCAUGCCGCGUGAAGGUCACGGCCCUAUGGGUCUUAAACUUCUUUUGUAAGGGAGCAAUAAGGGUCACGUGUGGUCCGAUGAGAGUACCUUACGAAUAAGCAUCGGCUAACUCCGUGCCAGCAGCCGCGGU
rnacentral:rRNA from 1 species